UACGUAGGUCCCGAGCGUUGUCCGGAUUUAUUGGGCGUAAAGCGAGCGCAGGUGGUUUAAUAAGUCUGAUGUAAAAGGCAGUGGCUCAACCAUUGUGUGCAUUGGAAACUGUUAGACUUGAGUGCAGUAGAGGAGAGUGGAAUUCCAUGUGUAGCGGUGAAAUGCGUAGAUAUAUGCAGGAACACCGGUGGCGAAAGCGGCUCUCUGGACUGUAACUGACACUGAGGCUCGAAAGCGUGGGUAGCAAACAGG
rnacentral:rRNA from 1 species